rnacentral:rRNA from 1 species
ACGAAGGGUGCAAGCGAUACUCGGAAUUACUGGGCGUAAAGGGUGCGUAGGUGGUUUUUUAAGUCUGCUGUGAAAUCCCCGGGCUCAACCUGGGAAUGGCAGUGGAUACUGGAAAGCUGGAGUGCGGUAGAGGGUAGUGGAAUUCCCGGUGUAGCAGUGAAAUGCGUAGAGAUCGGGAGGAACACCAGUGGCGAAGGCGGUCUCCUGGAGCCUGUUUGACGCUGAGGCGCGAAAGCUGGGGGAGCGAACGGGA